AUGGCUCGCGACGACCAUCAAGAUGAUGAGGACUUCAUUGAUUUACUACAACAGAAUCGCCCGAUUGGUCGGACAAAAGAUGACGAUGAGAAGAAGAAAAGUUAUCGCAAUAGGGCUUCGCAAGAACGCCUGACUAUAUUGACCGACGGAUUCACUGAUGAGCAAAAGGGAGCUGCCGGUGAGAUGGGGAUGCAGGCUUUGAUGGAUGUUCGGUGCAAGAACCUAGUGAACCCUGUAUGCGACUGGCUCAGUGAGAUUUAUGAUCCUGCCUCCAGGGAAUUUGUGAUUCCAGGACGUGGAAGACUGCCUUUGUAUGAGGAAUCCGUGUUCUGCACUUUGGGUGUGCCCCGUGGAGAAAUCAAAGUCCCGUAUGAGGUGAAUAAUAAGAUCGAGGAAGCCUUAUUCGCCCGUUUGUUUCCUGGGAUGGCAUCCAUGCCGAAUACGACUAUGUUGGCAACUUCGCUGGAGGGCAUGAAAACCCAUGGCGAGGUUUUUAAGAUGAAGCUCCUCAUGUACAUGAUCUCAACUGUUUUUGUGCCUGCCACAUCUCUUCGCCCAAGCAACAAGUGCUUCCCCAUCCUGGCGAAGUUGAAAGAUGUGAAGAAAAUGAAUUGGUGUAAAUUCAUCGCUGACUUCCUGCAUGAUGCAUUCUCAAACAAGAUGUACCAGAAGGGUUGUCGCUUGCACUUAAUGCUCAUGUAUGUCGAUUGUCUUGAUCUGUCCACCAUUGACUUUACUAGGAUAGGAGGCCCGCCGCCUCCACAUAAGUUUGCUGUCUCUGCGUGGACGUACAAUGCUAUCAAGGUUGUGCUUGCCGCAGACAAGAUAACUGAUAUGAAAUAUGGGAAACUGCAGCUGAUGGCCAAGCAUGCUAUAGACUACAGUGUGUUUGGUGGGCCUUAA
rnacentral:rRNA from 1 species